rnacentral:tRNA from 1 species
GCGGGCGUAACUCAGUUGGUAGAGUAUCGGCUUCCCAAGCCGGUUGUCGCGGGUUCGAGUCCCGUCGCCCGCUCAA